rnacentral:lncRNA from 1 species
AGAGCACCAAAGCCACUUGUGUGCUAGCACCUUGUAGGCCUCACUCCUCAGCUUUGAAUCUGGACCUGUUUCCUUAUAUUACUUGAAGUAGCCCUGUAUAGGAUUUAAGGAAUUAAUCCUAACCAUCAAGAAAAAUCAAGAACCCUUUUUUAUUUUCUUUUCCUCUCUCUAAGGCUUCUCUAGAUCUCUAUCUAGAGUUGGAACAGGGGC